rnacentral:rRNA from 1 species
GACGAACGCUGGCGGCGUGCUUAACACAUGCGAGUCGAACGAUGAACCCGGAGCUUGCUCUGGGGGAUUAGUGGCGAACGGGUGAGUAACACGUGAGUAACCUGCCCUGGACUCUGGGAUAAGCGUUGGAAACGACGUCUAAUACCGGAUAGGACCUUGGAUCGCAUGAUCUGGGGUGGAAAGUUUUUUCGGUCUGGGAUGGACUCGCGGCCUAUCAGCUUGUUGGUGAGGUAAUGGCUCACCAAGGCGUCGACGGGUAGCCGGCCUGAGAGGGUGACCGGCCACACUGGGACUGAGACACGGCCCAGACUCCUACGGGAGGCAGCAGUGGGGAAUAUUGCACAAUGGGCGAAAGCCUGAUGCAGCAACGCCGCGUGCGGGAUGACGGCCUUCGGGUUGUAAACCGCUUUUAGUAGGGAAGAAGGGCUUCGGCUUGACGGUACCUGCAGAAAAAGGACCGGCUAACUACG